rnacentral:rRNA from 1 species
UAUUGGACAAUGGGCGAAAGCCUGAUCCAGCAAUGCCGCGUGAGUGAUGAAGGCCUUAGGGUUGUAAAGCUCUUUUACCCGGGAUGAUAAUGACAGUACCGGGAGAAUAAGCUCCGGCUAACUCCGUGCCAGCAGCCGCGGUAAUACGGAGGGAGCUAGCGUUGUUCGGAAUUACUGGGCGUAAAGCGCACGUAGGCGGCUUUGUAAGUUAGAGGUGAAAGCCUGGAGCUCAACUCCAGAAUUGCCUUUGAUACUGCAUCGCUUGAAUCCAGGAGAGGUGAGUGGAAUUCCGAGUGUAGAGGUGAAAUUCGUAGAUAUUCGGAAGAACACCAGUGGCGAAGGCGGCUCACUGGACUGUACUGACGCUGAGGUGCGAAA